UACAUUGAAGCCCGCUGGGUUGGGUGUUUAGCUGUUAAUUAAAAUUUUACGGGAUCGAGGCCCGUCAGUCUAG
rnacentral:tRNA from 1 species